rnacentral:snRNA from 1 species
AAGGGAGUUGACCUUUUACCCGUGUGAUUCGGGAAAACAUGAUGGUCGAUGUAUUUUGGGCAAAUCAUUCCCGAUUUGCAUUACACAAAAUACAUUUAGAAUCGUCAUCAAGAGAUUCUGAACUCAGAAUUUUUGUAACAAGUGGAGUUGGGCUGAUUUCGAAUUCAUC